GAUGAAGAACGUAGUGAAAUGCGAUACUUGGUGUGAAUUGCAGAAUCCCGUGAACCAUCGAGUCUUUGAACGCAAGUUGCGCCCGAAGCCAUUAGGCCGAGGGCACGCCUGCCUGGGCGUCACACGUCGUUGCCCCCCCAUCUACUCCUUCGGGAUUGCGGGGGGCGGAUGAUGGCCUCCCGUGCGCCUCGUCGCGCGGUUGGCAUAAAUGCCAAGUCCUCGGCGACGCACGCCACGACAAUCGGUGGUUGCGAAACCUCGGUUGCCCGUCGUGUGCGGUCGUCGCGCAUCGAGGGCUCGAAAAAAUUGCCGGGCUCCGACUCGGCUUUCAACGCGACCCCAGGUCAGGCGGGGUUACCCGCUGAAUUUAAGCAUAUCAAUAAGCGGAGGA
rnacentral:misc_RNA from 1 species